rfam:Nelumbo nucifera unplaced genomic scaffold scaffold00227, whole genome shotgun sequence
GGGUGCGAUCAUACCAGCACUAAUGCACCGGAUCCCAUCAGAACUCCGAAGUUAAGCGUGCUUGUGGGCGAGAGUAGUACUAGGAUGGGUGACCUCCUGGGAAGUCCUCGUGUUGCACCCC